rnacentral:rRNA from 1 species
AACACAUGCAAGUCGAACGCUGAAGCCCUCAGCUUGCUGAGGUGUGGAUGAGUGGCGAACGGGUGAGUAACACGUGAGUAACCUGCCCCUGACUGUGGGAUAAGCCUGGGAAACUGGGUCUAAUACCGCAUAUGACAUGUCCUCGCAUGAGGGUGUGUGGAAAGGUUUUUCUGGUUGGGGAUGGGCUCGCGGCCUAUCAGCUUGUUGGUGGGGUAACGGCCUACCAAGGCGACGACGGGUAGCCGGCCUGAGAGGGCGACCGGCCACACUGGGACUGAGACACGGCCCAGACUCCUACGGGAGGCAGCAGUGGGGAAUAUUGCACAAUGGGGGAAACCCUGAUGCAGCGACGCCGCGUGAGGGAUGACGGCCUUCGGGUUGUAAACCUCUUUCAGCAGGGAAGAAGCCCCCUUGGGGGUGACGGUACCUGCAGAAGAAGUACCGGCUAACUACGUGCCAGCAGCCGCGGUAAUACGUAGGGUACAAGCGUUGUCCGGAAUUAUUGGGCGUAAAGAGCUCGUAGGCGGUUCGUCGCGUCUGCUGUGGAAACGCAAGGCUCAACCUUGCGCGUGCAGCGGGUACGGGCGUAACUAGAGUGCAGUAGGGGAGUCUGGAAUUCCUGGUGUAGCGGUGAAAUGCGCAGAUAUCAGGAGGAACACCGGUGGCGAAGGCGGGACUCUGGGCUGUUACUGACGCUGAGGAGCGAAAGCAUGGGGAGCGAACAGGAUUAGAUACCCUGGUAGUCCAUGCCGUAAACGUUGGGCACUAGGUGUGGGACUCAUUCCACGAGUUCCGUGCCGCAGCUAACGCAUUAAGUGCCCCGCCUGGGGAGUACGGCCGCAAGGCUAAAACUCAA